GAUGAACGCUGGCGGCGUGCCUAGUACAUGCAAGUCGAGCGAACAGACGAGGAGCUUGCUCCUCUGACGUUAGCGGCGGACGGGUGAGUAACACGUGGAUAACCUACCUAUAAGACUGGGAUAACUUCGGGAAACCGGAGCUAAUACCGGAUAAUAUAUUGAACCGCAUGGUUCAAUAGUGAAAGACGGUUUUGCUGUCACUUAUAGAUGGAUCCGCGCCGCAUUAGCUAGUUGGUAAGGUAACGGCUUACCAAGGCAACGAUGCGUAGCCGACCUGAGAGGGUGAUCGGCCACACUGGAACUGAGACACGGUCCAGACUCCUACGGGAGGCAGCAGUAGGGAAUCUUCCGCAAUGGGCGAAAGCCUGACGGAGCAACGCCGCGUUAGUGAUGAAGGUCUUCGGAUCGUAAAACUCUGUUAUUAGGGAAGAACAAAUGUGUAAGUAACUAUGCACGUCUUGACGGUACCUAAUCAGAAAGCCACGGCUAACUACGUG
rnacentral:rRNA from 1 species